rnacentral:misc_RNA from 1 species
AACGCACCUUGCGCUCCUUGGUAUUCCGAGGAGCAUGCCUGUUUGAGUCUCAUGGAAUUCUCAACCUUGCAGUUUUGCUACUGCGAGGCUUGGACUUGGAGGUCGUGUCGGCUCUCGUCAGUCGACUCCUCUGAAAUGCAUUAGUGCGGACGUUACCGGUCGCUUCAGCGUGAUAAUUAUCUGCGCUGCCGUCGUGCCGGUAUGUAAAGUACGUGCUUCUAACCGUCCUUCACGGGACAAAUCACUUUGAAACUCUGAGCUCAAAUCAGGUAGGACUACCCGCUGAACUUAA